AAAAGAGGCUGCAGAUUCUUAGUGGACAGCUCUCAUAUCCCCUCCAGGGAAAAUGAUGAAAAAUGUCUUCAGAAAAAUAGCUUUAUGAAGGCAAGAGGACUUUUUGCACCUGCAAGACAUGUCUGAAAGCUCCUCAGGUCAAAACACAAGUAGUCAAGAGAUUUGUCCAUCUAAUUCAUCAUACUACUCUGAUCCAAGUGAGACCCACACUGGGUCAGCUCCAUCAAGGAGAAGAACAUUCCACCCACGUUUGGAUUCUGGAAUAUCAUCCUUGCUUCCAUCAGAUUCUUGUAAGUACCUCACUUGGCACAAGGUAGACAUGACGUUCAAGGAAGUCAACUGCGUUGCCCAAGAGUAAGAGAAGGAAUCUCUGAAGAAGAGCAACUUUUCAGACAGGUAGAGUGUGCCUUGCUCCCAAGGAAAAGAGUUCUUGAAAAAAACAAAUGGGAAACAUGGCUACAAGAAAACUGGGAAGACUGCAAGGCAAAAACAUGCUAACUGACAAGAAAAUCAUGGGUUUUAUACAAGGAUAACAAGUGCUGGGUUGCUUAGCUAUGAGGAAGGCUAGGCUCACUGCAUACCAGAAGAUGUACAGCGUUGGAGAAUUCAGGGAUUUUUAUCAACAAUCAAACUAUAUUUGUGGAAAUUUUGUGCAUAAGUGCCAAAGAUGGCUGACAUCGGACCACAUUCUAUUUAACUCAACUGAAUGACACCAAGCUCUCAUCCUAAAACUUAUAGUUACAUCCACCCUUCUGAAAUAUUUAAUUAUUCUCCAAUACACUGGAGGUAAUAGGUAUAAAAAGAAUGAGCAUGUGCAACUUAGUAUCUCAUAUCUAAUUUUGUGUCCCAAGUUCAUUCUUCCCCUGAAUGUCCCAUGUCUACCAGGUGCAGGAUUAUCUGGAUGGGUCAGUUCAAAACAAUUUCAGGGAAUAAAUUGUGUAGGGGACUCAAUUUUCUGAGACAGAAACAUAAUGUGAAUAACUCCUUUGUUAGAAAAUAAUUUCAGUGACAGAAAGCCUUUCAGUUCAUAAAGAAAACUUACAUAUCAACAAGCCUAGCUCCUCACUAGUCCCAGUGAAUGCUUACAUCAAUCAGCUCUACAAUAUCCAGUAAAGGACUUUCCAAUUCGCCUUUGAAUAAACUGAGGUAUUGGAAACAUCUAAGAAAAUGGUUUUUAAUUCUUCCUAAUCUUCAGGGAGUUCUUCCUUAUAUUGAGCUGAUAUCUGCCCUCUGUAACUUUCAACUAAUUAUUCAAAUCUCUCAAGUGAUUAUAAUUAAUUCCAUCUUAUAAGGAAUUUUUCUCAGCUUCCAGCCUCUUGAAAAUACUCUGAUAUUUUCUCUAAUAUUCAAGUGGAAAUGUAAAUGGGUAACGUAAGAGUCUGUGGGGUUAGGAGGGUGGAGGAAAGGUAAGGGAAAGCUAAUGAGAAAUAACCAAAGCAAGAAAAAGAAUUUUAUUUUCUUCAAGUUCUUUGUACAUCCAAAGUGGAAGAUUCCUAAAAUAAAUUCCCCAUACCACAUUUUAAAAAUUAGGUUAGCAAGCUUACUUUUUAAUUUAUUUAGAAGCCAACUACUUCCAUUUAUUAUUUCUUUCCAGAAUAGAACAAUUAUCACUAAUUGUUUGUCAUUAUAAUGCCAAACUAUGUUAAUAGAUGCCUAUUUUUUUAAAGGCUAAUUGCAAUCAUGAAACCAAAUAUCUAAUUAGUUUUAGAGCUUUGGACCACAUGCAUCAAUAUUUGAAUCAUUCAGGUGUAUAUUUGCUUUCUGCUUUUUUGUCUCUUCAAAAGAAGUAUUAUAUGCAUUCUGUUUAUAAUUUCUAAAUGGUCAUUUCAAAACUGAUUAUACGAGUUUAUACAAAUCAUACUGAAAUUUGUUGCUUAAAAAAUCUUCAUUUUUCUCUAAGCUCUCAGUGUCCUUGAGCUAUAUAUAUUUUAUGGCAAUUUUUACUUAAUAGUUUGUAUGCUAGUUAUUUUUGACAAUGACUACUAAAAUGCAAGUUUCUUCAAGGGCAGAUUCACCUUAGUUCUUCUUUAUACCCCUCAAAAACCUCAGGGUUAUUCUCAAUAAGUAUUGAGUAGGUGAGUGAACUUUGGAUGUAUACUCCUUGAAAUUAUAUUUCUGGAGCUGGAAAACUUUAAAAAAAUGUAUGUCAUGAGUCUAAAGAAAUAAACAUUAUAUGGCUGAAAAAAUACUUUGUGAAAACCAAAAAUCUCAUGGAAUCAUGAACUUAUCUAUGGGACAGAUGUUAGCCCUGAGGUUGUUCUGGGCUUCUUUUCUACCCACUUCCCAUGACCAAAUCAGUUCACUAGUCAGCAGUUCUAUCCUUCCUCUCCUUCUCCUUCCAUCUAAGGAGCUAGAGCUGAACUGCUUGGCCACUGAUUGCUGACAUGCUGAGUUUUCUACAGCUGGAGUUUUCAAGAGGGCUUUGAUUUUGCUUUCCCCAGUUUUCCUUCUUCCACACUUGAAAAGUGGUAAGGGUACCAGCUUUCUGUCUAUCUCUGACUCUCUCUCUCUCUUUCACACACACACACACACACACACACACACACACACACACUUUUUUUUUUCUUCCACCCUCCUGCACAGCAGGAGACCUUGCCUUGAUCUUUGAAGGUCUACAGCAAGUGGUCUAGGCUAACUCAGUGCUGGGCAAAUGGAGCAAAAACUCUUUUCUGCUUCCUUGCCUCCAUGUCUUUCAGAGCUAGCAGAUACAGCUUUUGUUCUAUAGGAGUGAUUCUUUCUAAAUGUCAGCUCAACAGGAUGAUGGUCACUCUUGUAUAUCACUUAGGCAUGAGUUCUGUUGAAUCCCA
rnacentral:lncRNA from 1 species